rnacentral:lncRNA from 1 species
GACAGCGAAAGAAGGACGACGAUCCUAGAGGGUAAUCAAGAAGACUCUUCAAAGUCUGAGGACUGGAAAGUUUGUAUGAAUCCUAGAAGUUCGAUCUCCGUGGAGUACGGAGGAGUCGGGAAUACAAAGUGAUGAAUCAAAAAAGUCCAGACGAGUCUGGGAGUUCUCAAAAGUGGAAAGUCAACACUGUGGUGGGAUGGUGAAUAUCAGUGUUCGACGAGUCGACGGGCGGUCCGUG